AAUCAACGCUGGCGGCGUGCCUCAGACAUGCAAGUCGAACGAUUAAGACUUCCUUCGGGAGGUUCAUAAAGUGGCGCACGGGUGAGUAACACGUAAGUAAUCUACCAUCGAGUGGGGAAUAACGUUCGGAAACGAACGCUAAUACCGCAUAACGCAGCGGCACCGCAAGGUGACAGUUGUUAAAGGAGCAAUCCGCGUGAGGAGGUGCUUGCGGCAGAUUAGCUAGUUGGUAAGGUAAUGGCUUACCAAGGCUACGAUGUGCAUCCGGUCCAAUAGGACGGUCGUACACACUGACACUGAAUAACGGGUCAGACUCCUACGGGAGGCAGCAGUCGGGAAUUUUGAGCAAUGGGCGAAAGCCUGACCCAGCAACGCCGCGUGAAGGAUGAAGUAUUUCGAUAUGUAAACUUCGAAAGAAUGGGAAGAAUAAAUGACGGUACCGUAAGAAUAAGCACCGGCUAACUACGUGCCAGCCGCCGCCGUAAUAC
rnacentral:rRNA from 1 species